rnacentral:misc_RNA from 1 species
GAUGAAGAACGUAGCGAAAUGCGAUAAGUAAUGUGAAUUGCAGAAUUCAGUGAAUCAUCGAAUCUUUGAACGCACAUUGCGCCCGCCAGUAUUCUGGCGGGCAUGCCUGUUCGAGCGUCAUUUCAACCAUCAAGCUCUGCUUGCGUUGGGGAUCCGCGGCUGCCCGCGGUCCCUCAAAACCAGUGGCGGGCUCGCUAGUCACACCGAGCGUAGUAACUUUACAUCGCUAUGGUCGUGCGGCGGGUGCUUGCCGUAAAACCCCCCAAUUUUUAAGGUUGACCUCGGAUCAGGUAGGAAUACCCGCUGAACUUAAGCAUAUCAAUAAGCGGAGGA